AUUGAACGCUGGCGGCAGGCCUAACACAUGCAAGUCGAACGGUAGCACAGAGAGCUUGCUCUUGGGUGACGAGUGGCGGACGGGUGAGUAAUGUCUGGGAAACUGCCCGAUGGAGGGGGAUAACUACUGGAAACGGUAGCUAAUACCGCAUAACGUCUUCGGACCAAAGUGGGGGACCUUCGGGCCUCACACCAUCGGAUGUGCCCAGAUGGGAUUAGCUAGUAGGUGGGGUAAUGGCUCACCUAGGCGACGAUCCCUAGCUGGUCUGAGAGGAUGACCAGCCACACUGGAACUGAGACACGGCGCAGACUCUUACGGGAGGCAGCAGUGGGGAAUAUUGCACAAUGGGCGCAAGCCUGAUGCAGCCAUGCCGCGUGUAUGAAGAAGGCCUUCGGGUUGUAAAGUACUUUCAGCGGGGAGGAAGGCGAUGGAGUUAAUAGCUUCAUCGAUUGACGUUACCCGCAGAAGAAGCACCGGCUAACUCCGUGCCAGCCGCCGCAGUAA
rnacentral:rRNA from 1 species